CGCAGAGGUGGUGAACGCGGUCGCAAUAACUCGGAGGUGCCUGCCAGAUGUGUCAGCACACAAGUGUUACCAGCACCAAUCUUUUUGGAGAUAUUUCAGAUAAGAUGUUGUAAAAAUUGUAUAAAUUGUGUAUAAUCAGGAGCAGGAGACACGUGCGAUCUUGAUUUAUAGUUAUGUGCUGAUGACAGAUGAAGGUGUGGUGUGCUGACAGACAGAAAUAACAAGAAAGUAGUGAGUUUUGCAGCUGUCACUUCAGCAUGCUCUGUCCACCACCAGUAAAGCAAGAUAAGUAAUGGUUUUAACCGGUAAAAUCAGUAACAAGAGGUGUUAUCUGCCAGGGACUUUGGACUGUCACAGUAUAAAGAUGUUAUGUAGCUAAAAAGAUACAGCAGACCACAGUGAGUGCGUAGGCUGUCACUGCAACAGGUCUUUUUGACUAUAUUAAAACAAGCAAAAAGUUUAAAGUUAAAAAUUAUAUAUCAGAUGGUUAUACUAAAUGUGCACGAUGUUAUUCCUGCAGUAAUGAUAGUACUAAUAUAUAAAAUUUUUCUUUGCAGGUACACAAGACCAAAUAAAAACCGUGUACAGCUGUCACAGGACUAUGAGCUGGAUAUUAAAGUAGAGCAAGUGCAAUAUAUAGAAGCUGCAGAGGACAGGAGUGUGACUUACCUUCUCGGGAGCUGUCAGGAAAUGCUGCAGGACGUAUGUGGCUGCUGAUGUGGUGCGCGUUAAUAAAAUAUAAUAAUAAUAAGAUCAGGUACAAGGAUGGUAUAUGUACUUAAGAUAUACCCUACAGGAGAGAAAAAAGCGUGUUAUGUGUAAAAUGUGUAGUCAAUGAAUAAAAAGUCGCCUGUAUAUAUGUGUAUAUGUAUGUAGAAGAGAGAGUAGAGCUUUAUAAAAAUAAAAUGUGACUUAUAGAUGUAUAAAAUGUGACUUAUAGUCACUCCUAACCUAAAAUCUCGCUCCCGUUCCUCGAGCAGCAACAGCGGCGAAUAUCCAAUUCCUGGACAGCAAGGAUGUUACAAAGGGAAGGUAGGUAAUUCUUUAAACUUUUAUUUUUCAAAUAAAGUCCGUUACGGACUGGCAGC